UGAGGGAAUAUUUGGGUCAAUGGGCGAGAGCCUGAACCAGCCAAGUAGCGUGCAGGACGACGGCCCUAUGGGUUGUAAACUGCUUUUAUAUGGGGAUAAAGUGAGUUACGUGUAGCUUAUUGCAGGUACCAUAUGAAUAAGGACCGGCUAAUUCCGUGCCAGCAGCCGCGGUAAUACGGAAGGUCCAGGCGUUAUCCGGAUUUAUUGGGUUUAAAGGGAGCGUAGGCCGCCCCUUAAGCGUGUUGUGAAAUGCCGCGGCUCAACCGUGGCACUGCAGCGCGAACUGGGGGGCUUGAGUGCACGCAACGCA
rnacentral:rRNA from 1 species